rnacentral:rRNA from 1 species
AACGAACGCUGGCGGCAGGCUUAACACAUGCAAGUCGAGCGCCCCGCAAGGGGAGCGGCAGACGGGUGAGUAACGCGUGGGAAUCUACCCAUCUCUACGGAAUAACGCAUGGAAACGUGUGCUAAUACCGUAUACGCCCUUUGGGGGAAAGAUUUAUCGGGGAUGGAUGAGCCCGCGUUGGAUUAGCUAGUUGGUGGGGUAAAGGCCUACCAAGGCGACGAUCCAUAGCUGGUCUGAGAGGAUGAUCAGCCACAUUGGGACUGAGACACGGCCCAAACUCCUACGGGAGGCAGCAGUGGGGAAUAUUGGACAAUGGGCGCAAGCCUGAUCCAGCCAUGCCGCGUGAGUGAUGAAGGCCUUAGGGUUGUAAAGCUCUUUCGCCGGUGAAGAUAAUGACGGUAACCGGAGAAGAAGCCCCGGCUAACUUCGUGCCAGCCGCCGCGGUAAGAC